AAACAGAGAUCAAAGCAGUUGCUGAUGAGUUCUUUAAAAUCUUCAGGAGCCAAGCACACCACCUGCCUAAUAUCUGUUCCGAUAAAAUACACAAAAUCUAGGUACAUGAAGGUGACUGGGAGACUCAGGGAUCCGUCAAGCAUUGGAUGUUCAAAUUGAUGAAUGGUAGUUUUUCAUUCAUACUUUCUUUCGUUCAUAUACAGAGUAUAUAUAGAGGGUAAUCACCAUUCUAAGAAUGAGAAAGGAUGAUACAAGGAAAGAAUAAUAUAAGGAAAUAACAACUAAUAUCCUAAUAUCUCAACUUUCCUAAUAUCUCAAUAUUCCUAAUAUCUUAAUAUUCAUAAUAUCUUAACUUUCCUAAUAUCUAAACACUAAAUGAUAUAAGGAAAUAAUGAUAUAAGGAAAACAUUCCUAAUAUCUCAACACUCCCCCUCAAGUUGGUGCAUAGAUGUCACACAUGUCCAACUUGUCUAAAAUUUUUUGAGAAUACUUGACUUGAGACAGCUUUGGUGAGGAUAUCGACUAACCAAUCUUACUUUCCACCUUGGAUCAACUAAGGCUUCUUGCACAUUGUUAGGAAUAACUACAGUAAAUAAUUGAUUUACAAAUGACUUAUUUGAUUCAGACAAACGAUGGUUAGACACAUAGUUGCUCAUGGGAUAUUUGACUUUGGUAGACAAAUCAGGUUCAUAUGUGGGUUUAGGAAUACCAAGAUUAUGACGAUGUGGUAACCGUUUCAUGAAUGGAUCGGGUUCCAAAUUAAGAACACCCUCAACAGACGACGAUUGGUUUGAUAUUUCAGUGAAGACAUCUUCAGACCCAAAUUGUUGACCUCUCAUAUCCAACUCACCCACUUCCUGGUUCACUAGUUCAGAUUGUCCAGAUUCAUUCUCCUUAGAGAUAUGAUAAUCAUAAUCAAGAGUCUGAAUUUCCUUAUGGUACUCCCCCUGAAGUUCAGACUCAGAUGAAAAUUACAUCGAAUCUUCAUGAAACACCACAUCCAUUGUAAUAUACAUUUGUCGAGUUGGAGGAUGGUAACAUCGAUAUCCCUUUUUGUGCAAUGCAUAUCCAACAAACACACAUUGCAAUGCAUGGGAAGUUAACUUAGUGCGUUGGUGCUUGUGUAGAUGCACAAAUGCCACGCAACCAAAAACACGAGGAGGUAGAUUUGGGACGGUUGGGGCAACUACGACAUUAGUAAGAGCUUGGAGAGGUGUUUGAAAGUUAAUUGAGCUAGAAGGUACCCGAUUGAUCAAGUAUACGGCAGAUGUGAUUGCUUCUCCCCAAUAAGAUAUCGGUGUUUUUGCUGCUAUCAAGGAAGCACGAAAAACCUCUAACAAGUGCCGAUUUUUUCGUUCAACGACUCCAUUUUGCUGGGGUGUAUUGGAACAAGUAGUUUGAUGAAUGAUGCCAUGUCCUUCCAAAUACUUUUGAAGAUCAGAACUUUGAUAUUCUCCACCAUUAUCACUACGCAGAACCCGAACCUUUGCAUUGUAUUGAGUUUCAAUCAUUUUAUGAAAUUUUUGAAACAACAAGUUCACUUCAUCUUUGGUCUUCAUCAAGUAUAACCAUGUCAUUCUGGUACAAUCAUCAAUAAAAGUAACAAACCAACGCGAACCACUCAAAGUUGGGACUUUGGAUGGGCCCCAAACAUCAGAAUGUAUAAUCAUAAAAGGAGACGGACUUUUAUUCAAAAUUAAUGGAAAGGAAGCACGAUGGCUUUUAGCCAAUUCACAAAUAUCACAACGGAAACCAGAAAUAUCACUCUUUGCAAACAAACUAGGAAAUAAUUUUUUUAAAUAUCCAAAGGAAGCAUGUCCCAAACGUCGAUGCCACAACCAAAUUUCAGACUUUUUCUUCUCUUCCUCAGAUCCAUCUGCCAUCAAGGCUUGUCGCAACUUAUUUGAAUCAUUUGACUGCAAGUCCAAAUAAUAGAGUUUUCCCCGCUUAAUACCAAAACCAAUCGUCUGUCUUGUUUGGAUGUCCUUAAAAACACAAAAUUCAGGCCAAAAAAUGACAAUACAAGAUAAGACUGCAGUGAUUUGAGAAACUGACAAAAGAUUGUAAUUUAAGGAUGGAACAACUAAAAUAGAAUCCAAAUUCAAAGUAUCAGUAAGAGUUAAGGAUCCUUCCCCAAUGACUGGGGUUGUGUUACCAUUGGCUGUGGAAACAAAUUUUUGUGAGGAAGGUCUAACGGGUGAGACUUGUCUAGAAUCAAAAGUCAUAUGAUCUGUAGCACCAGAAUCAAUUAUCCAUGCAUUAUUAAUAACAGGUGUAGAAGUAUUUAAAAACUUACCACCAUAAUCUGUAGCGGCUAUCAAUGCAGAGGCUUUCUCAUCAACAUUAGCCUCUGUUUUUAUUUCGGCAAUAGCUGCAGUCGAGGUUUUCUUGGAAUUCUUCUUCUGUUGAUCACGAUUGUGAUCCCACCAGUCUGGAUAUCCCACAAUUUCAAAGCAACGACUCUUGGUAUGACCAGUCUUAUUGUAGUGAGUGCAUUUGAAGGUUGACUUAUCAAUAUUAUGGUCUGUCUUAGGAUGAUUGGUCUUGGAUUGGUCCUGCCAAUUUCGGGUUAAUUGUUGUCGGACUACCAUAGCUGAGGUGUCAGGGUUGUCAGAUUCUGCUUUCAUACUAGCAUGACGUAAUGCCUCUCGUUGAAUCAGUGCAUAGCAUUCUUCCAAAUAGGGAAGAGGAUCUUUGCGUAGAAUCUCUCCUCAAACUUGCUCAAAGUCACCACCCAAUCCAGCAAGAAAGAUGUGCACCCGUUGUCGUUCAAUGGAUUUCCGGUAUGCUGCAAUGUCUUCAGGGUCUUUCAUGACUACCUUCUCCCGAUGAUCCAAUUCGCAAAAAAGUUCAAUUAACUCUCCAUAAUAUUCAGAAAGAGACCUGCCGUUUUAUUUGGCAGUGAAGACUUUUUGAUUCAAAGUGAAAACUUGUAAUUCAUCACUUUCAUCAUAGAAGGCCUUUGAUAAUGCACUCAAAAUUUCUUGAGCGGUGGGUAAGCGUAAGUAAUGCUUCAUAAUUUCUGGACUCAUGGACAUUAACAACCAUCUCUUCACCUUUUGAUUCUCAGCAUACCAUUUUUCAUAUCCAUCUUCUGACUCUUUUGGUAGAUUUGUCUUACCUCGGAUGUAGGAAAGUUUUUCCCGUUCGGCAAUAUGCAUCUCCACGAGUUGUGACCAAACGUCAUAGUUUGAUUUAGUCAAAAUAAUUCCUGAAUUGAAAGUACCUUCAGAUUGAAAAACAAUAAUACUUUUUUCACUCAUUUUUUUUUUCUCUCGCAAAGAAGGGGCAAUUGUUGGCCUUACAACAAAAUAUCCAGGAUUUCAGGAACCUAGCUCUGAUACCAUGUUCAAAUUGAUGAAUGAUAGUUUUUCAUUCAUACUUUCUUUCGUUCAUGUACAGAGUAUAUAUAGAGGGUAAUCACCAUUCUAAGAAUGGGAAAGGAUGAUACAAGGAAAGAAUAAUAUAAGGAAAUAACAACUAAUAUCCUAAUAUCUCAACUUUCCUAAUAUCUCAAUAUUCCUAAUAUUUCAAUAUUCAUAAUAUCUUAACUUUCCUAAUAUCUAAACACUAAAUGAUAUAAGGAAAUAAUGAUAUAAGGAAAGCAUUCCUAAUAUCUCAACAUUGGAGUUACACCAUUGGUAUAACAUGCAACUCAAACUCAGAACUCCAAAACACUAGCUGGCAUUAUAUUCUGCUAAAAUAUUUUUUGAUGUUUAUCUUUCAUUUCAUUGUUGUUUUCUUCACCUCUCAAAUUUUCUUUUAUAAUAAAUGCAUGCCUCUUUGUACUUUUUUUUUUCUUGCAAAGAAGUGACUAUAAUCGAUGGUUCUUAGUAAUGUAUAUGGCAUCUAAUAAUAGCUUUAACAUAUUCCAAUUAUGUUUAACCUCACAUUUUGGUUUGAACUAGGAGGGAAUUCUAAGAGUAUUAAGGAGACUGUGGAAUCAAAAGAUGAAGAGAACAGGUCCAUCACGUUCAAGGUUUUGGAUGGGGAGCUGUUGAACGACUACAAGAGCUACAAGUUCACCACACAAGCGAUACCAAAGGGGGAGGGCUGCUUGGUGAAAUGGACCGCUGAAUAUGAGAAGGCAAGUGAGGAUGGAUCAGAUCCCCGUGGCUACCUGGAGCUUGCAGUUAAUAUCACCAAAGAUAUCGAAAGUCACCUUCUCAAUGCAUAACGCCAAGACCAUAUGUACCGUUUGCUAGUAUUUCUCUCUUAAAUAAAGUUUGGAACUUGGAUGUGCAUCUAUGUACUAUCUCGACCUUUUAAUAAACGCAAAUUCCAGCUGUACUGGAGUUGGUGACUAAUGCCGAGAAGACAAACUAGGUUCCCGAUCCUCAGUUAUUUAUGCAAUAAUAUUAAUUAGUGCAUGCGUGUGAUUAGUUGUAUGGUUCUGGGAGUUGCUUUGUGAUUGUUAAUCGGUGUCUUUUGUAGUGGGAUUAUUACAUGCAUGUAAUGUGAAGAACAUAUGAUCCAUGAGGAAAUAAAUUAAAUGAAAAUUACCCAGGCUCCAUCAUGAGGAGCCUUUGAGCAUGCCCACAAGCCUACGUUCCUGCAUUCAAGUCACAUAUGUGAAAAUUCCACUUUGCACAUAAUCUAAAUAAUUUAUCUAAAAAUCUAAGAAGUAAUCUCUCUCUCCAUCUAUGUCUCUCUCUCCCCAUCUAUAUGUACCUCAAAUGAAGAGGUAAGGUAAUGUAAAAUCCCCACCUCAAAUUUAGGGAUAUUUAUAUAAUUUGAAAAUUUUAAAAAGACCUACAUUAAUUUUGUAAAUAUUUAUGUAAUCAACUUUCUCAGAUUAAUUAAAUAAAAAAUUGACCAAGAUGAUUAAAAAUGCAAAUUUGAUGAGGACAUGAAGUAAAAAGUGGUAGGGUUUAAGGACAAUGGCUUCUACUGAAUUUUGGUGAGGUGGUGAUACAAUGAGGAAAAUAGAUUAAUAAAGUUUAUCCAUGGAAAUAGAAAAUAGAAAACAAAAAAUAUAAAAUAAUAAUAAUAUUCAUGUUAAUCAUUUAAUAAAUAUAAUAAAUGCAAUUAUAUAUGCUAAGUGAAAAUAACAAUAUUAUUAUUAUUAUUAUUAAUGCUUAUGAUAGGUGAGAAUUAAGUCUUUUAGAAAUUUGAGUAAUUUUUUCAAGGUAAAGCUUAUAGUUCAUUAAGUCAUUUUAUAAUUCCUUAUAUAUUUUUUUAUUGAUUUUUAAAGUAUCAAAAUGUGUAAAUUCUUUAAAGUGGAUCAAAUAGUUUUUUUUUUUUUUGAAAUAUUUUGUGAUUUGUUUGGUUGUUAUGAAAGUGAAUUUUAUUACUUAAUUUAUUAUAAUGAUUUUAAAACUCUAGUUAUUAGUGGUUUUAGUCAACAAGGAUAAGUUAUUAACCUUCUUUACCUUUGGUCAGUGAAGGGAUGUAGUAUAACACUAGCCAAUAAAUGUGUCAUUGGUCUUGUAUACUAUUGAUUAGAAAUUGUUAUGUCCACCAAUGAGAGUAUUAAAGUGAGGUGAGCCACCUAAUGUAAGUCCCAAUAUUUGGGCACAACGUUAUUAUUAAUUAAUAAACAAAAAUAAAUAGUUUAUUUAUAAAAAUUUUUUUCUAAAUAUAAAUUGAGUAUGCAAAUUGUAUUUUUUAAUUCUAUCUUUAAAUUUAAAGUGUUUAAUCUUUUGAAGAAAGUGAAUUUAAUUUUUUGAAGAAAGUGAAUUUAAUUUUUGAAUUAAAUAAAUUAACCUGAUAAUUGAUUUUUAUAAAAAUUUGAUAUCUCUUAGAAUUUAAUUCUCUACAAUAUAUACCUGAUUUUUUUCAUUGAACUAUUUUUUCUUAUUGAACCAUUGAAGUCACCCUUCUUUAUUAUUCCCCUUUUCAUAUACAAAUGGUAUAAGUGAGAAGGGAUUACGGGAGGAGAAAUGUUUCUAUUAUAAACAACUUUGGAAUUGAAUUAUGUUGGAUUGUGAAACGUGAAUCGGUUUAAUUUAUUGUAUUUUGCAAGGAAUGCUAGAGGUCGAGUGUCUAAUUGAGCUUGCGGGGAUCAAGAGUCUUGAUCGGUUCGUUGGGACUUGGGAUUGAGUUGUCCAAUCAGCUCAUGGGGUUAAAGGAAUAUCCUUCGAUUUUUUUUAAUACGAUGAAUAACGAGUUUGUCCUAAUUGUAUAUUUAAUCUUAUUAUAAUUUAAAGUUUCUUUUUAGAGAGUGUGUGACUGCAAUCGAAAGGAUAAUGAGUGUUUAGUACUCGUCUUAUUUUUUUCUGAACCAAAUUAAAAAUCUAUUGUUUUUCUUUAUUUUCUAAUCGUGUGUGCAUGAUUUGAUCAACAAAUUAUUUAUAGGAUUGUUUACUUAAAUUUGAUUGUAAUUUAUUUAAGUUUUUAGGAGAAUCAUUAAAUUUAUUAUUACAAUAUUUUAUUAGUUUUGAAUUUGUUAUUUAAAGUGAUUCAUUUACUUGGUUCAAAGGUUUGACAUAUAAAGUCACCGUGGUUCCCUUGGUGUCGCGGGUGAUUUUGUAAGUGCCUUCGGACUACAGAAUAUUAAUUAACCUACCAAUCUUCAAUGUAAUCUAAGAUGCAGAAAGAUCUUGUGGGUUAAGGUCAAGUGGGCGCUUCAAUAUUUAUCAUGUCUUCAAAAAAAACUUCAGGGCCCCAGUCCAGAUUCUCAGAUAUGGAUUCUAACAGUUGCUACCAAUCACGGGGGUGAAAACAAAUCAGUGUCGCAGAAAUCGCUAUCAAUGUGGUACUGGAAAAAAAAGAAGAGAUUCCUCCACUUGUUCUUGAAAUUUAUCUGAACGCAUGCAAUAAAUCAAUGCUCCAUAAUCUCCUGCACAUGCAAAUUAAAAUCAAAAUCAGGCCAUUGGCCUCUCACAUUACCAUUCUUGGCCGUUUUCUGGUGUGCAUAUAAAGAGUAAUAACCACACCAUCCAUCUUUUACUCUGGUUGUCACACUCCCACCACUCUCCCACCACUUCUUCCCUAAUCUCCUAACAUCAAAUACAAAAAUGCCACAUCCUUAUUAUUGAAAAUUAAAUUCCCAUACAUAUAAAUCUUAUGCCAGAUUUUUUGUUGAUUGGAUGAUAUUCGGCCAUAUAAAAUUCAGUAUCAAUCACAAACAUUCGUUAUCCAAUCUUGAUACCGAAGAGGAUAGAGUAUCAAUCCAUCUAUGGGCCCGGUGCACCAGGCCUUCCGCCUAUAAAAGUUUUCUAGGGUGGUGAACUAUAUUCUUCAAACACAGCCUUGGCUAGUUACUAUCUGGUUUCCAAAGAAAGAAGAAAUGGCUCAGAUAGAUAAGAUGGAAACCCAUGUAGAGAAAAAGUCCCCUGCCAAUGAGUUCUACGAGGUCUUCAGCAGCAAAGCUCAUCUCAUUCCCAAGGCCUGCCCUGACAAAAUCAAGAGCAUCGAAGUGGUUGAAGGUGAUUGGAAGAGUGUGGGCUCUGUCAAGCUCUGGACUUACUGUAUCGGUAAGGCAACGCUAACCAUUAUUCCCAUGCCACCCUCAAUCAAACAAAAUAAUACACUCAGCACAUGGACCUUCUUGUUUUUAAUUAUUAUUGCUGUGGAAGAUAAUAAUAACAAAACAAAGGGAAUGACCCCUUCUGAUACGGGUGCCUCCUCAUAUUAGUUUUUUGAAGUUCUCCAUGCAAACUAAAGUAGAAAUCAAUCUUUAGGCACAUCCCUUAUCUGAGCUUCACAUGACCUUAGUUUCAUUUUAAAUUAACCUGCAGGAGGAAAUACUUCGUCUAGCAAGGAGAGGGUGGAAAAGAAAGACGAUAAGAACAAGUCCAUCACUUUCAAGGCUCUGGAUGGAGAGGUCAUGAAGGAUUUCAAGAGCGUCAUCUCCAUCCUUGAAGUGAGUGCAAAGGAUGACGGCAGCCUGGUGAAAUGGACUUUGGAAUAUGAGAAGUCAAAUGAGAAACUCCUACCUCCAGAUGCUUACCUCAGCCUUGUAAUUAGUAUGAGUAAAGAAAUCGACGCUUACCUUCUCAAGGCAUAAGCCGCAUAACAAGCCCUAUAUCCUUGACUUGAUAUGAAAGCAUCCUAGCCUGGGUCCUCCUGGGAAUAACGGAGUUGCUAUGCGUACCUCCAUAUUAUAUUAUCGACACCUACUGGCUACUGCUGUACUCCAUGUAACUUCUUGCUGUACUUAAUUAUAUGAGCUUCCUGAAUUAAUGUUGGAAUGAUAAAUCAAGCUUUAUGGUAGAAUCAAAUGAUUGCUCUAUCAUGGAAUAAAUUUCGCAAUAAAAAUAAAUAUUAGAGGAGAGUUAUGAAACGAAGCUUUUUUUUCUGCAUCAAAUUAACUUUUCAUACACUGUUUUUAAAACAAAUCAACAUACAAUGAUCUUAUGUUGUACCUUUUCCGUUGCAGAUUGCUUUUAAAAAUGUUCUCCCCACAGGCACUUCUAUGGUAUCUUUUCAAAAUUGCUAUUAUAUAUGUUUAAUUAACCAUUCAUUUUGGUCUAAAGCUAGGACGAACUUCUAAGACUGCCACGGAGACUCUGGAAAUCAACAGAUGAAGAAAAAAAUAAAAUAUAUCCAUGACUUCCAAGGUUUUGGAAGCAGAGGUCAUGAAUCAUUUCAAGAAGAUUCAAGUCAUCCAUGCAAGUAACAGCAAAGGAUAAGCGCAGCUAGGUGAAAUGGAGACUGGAUAUUGAGGGUCACUAUCUCAGAUUCUCAAGGCAUAGCAUUAAAAACAUAUCCUUUAAUUGGUAGUAUAAUCUCAAACUUGUAUGUAAAGACCAGACCGUGGAAGUGCAUAUAUGCAUUUUAUUCUUCAAUAAGCGCAGGCUUAGGGGGUAGUUCAAUAACCUCUGGGCUUAGUCAAUCCCGAGAAGAUAUUAAUAAAUUUCCCUGGAUUAUUCCUCUCAUGAAUAUCAGUGCCUGUAAUUUGGUUGUGUGCUAACGGGAGUUGCCUCUUGCGAUCGGUUGGGUUCUUUAAUAAACGCAUUAUUAGGUAUGAAUGAUCAGGAAAUUGAUAAGUAAAAAACAAUUUAAUUAUUUCACUUAAGUCAUAAACCAUUAUGAGGAGCCUUGGAAUAUAUGCAUGAGUCUAGAUUCUCGCAGCCACUAAUCACGUAGUCAAAAUUGGCCAGUCGCAAACAUUCCAAUCAUUCUUUAUGAUAAGAAAGAAGAGUUCACUCUUCUUUUUCUCGAGUUUUUUAUUUGGAGAGAGCAAUUUAUCAGCCUCACAUUUUGAGACCUUUCUUGGCACAUCACUUUCAGAAUCUGAUUUCCUAGCUCCACUAUAGAAGUAAAGCCAGUUGGGUAUCACAUUCUUGUUUUAUGUCUCCUUGAGUGGGUCGGGUGUAUAUAAAAAUUUGCCAGUUGAAGAUUUUCUUUGUUAUGCUAGUCUUUCUUUUUCUAACCUCCUGAUAUCAAAUGGGAAAAUGCCAUAUCGUUACUGGACAAUUGACCCAUAAUGGAGAGACUUUUGUUGGUUGGACUUGGGCUUUUAUAUAACUCAGCAACUAUCAUAAUUAUAGGAGAAAUUUGAAGUAACCAUAUUGAUUUGGGUCUACCAAGAAGCAAGGUGAAUCGUAACAUAUCAUGCAUAUAACUUGAUUCAAUUAUUUUAUAUUCUACUUGUUUCUUAUGUAUUUUUACUUUUAUCAAAUAGUUUAGAUAUCAUUACCAAAUAUUCUCCUGACAUUUUCCUAUUAUUUCUGUAAGAUGCUAUAAUCUACACCCAAAGUAGUGGACCACUUACACUUUAUUAUGUACUAACCACGAUCAUAACUUACAUUCUCCACCUUGGCCUCUCUCUUAUCCCAAAAAGUAAAGACUCAGGGUUCGUAUCCCUUCCCUUCUGUCUAUAUAGGUCUAAGAGUAGUCAAGUGUUUCCUUCAAUAGCCUUCAUAUUCUUGGCAGUAACUAGGUACUUGGUUUUCAAACACAACAAAAAUAAUGGCUCAAAUUGCCAAGAUGGAGGUCCAAGCAGAGAUCAAGUCCCCUGCCAGUAAGUUCCACGAGGUCUGUAGCCGUAAAGUUUAUCUCGUACCCAAGGCUUGCCCUGAAAAAAUUAAGAGCAUUGAAGUAGUUGAAGGUGACUGGAAGACUGUGGGCUCUGUCCAGCUUUGGACUUAUUUCAUCGGUAAGGCAAAAUCCAUCAUUCCACGCCUCCCCCAACAAACACAAGGACACAGAGCUCAAUUGUACUUCUAUUAUUAUUACUAUUAUUAGGAAAUAAUGAUAAUCUAAUGGUAAUGUGACUCUACUCAUGCCGAUAUAAACCCCGUAAUCUUGAUCUCAAAUUGCUAUCAAACAAAAGAAUAUCAAAUAAAGGUAAAGUGUGUCCCCUAUAUUUAUACGUAGAUAGAUGAGUUCUAAGCUUAGCACCAUGUUUUCCAUUUGAAAAACAGGAGGAAAUACCGAAGAGGCUAAGUUGGUGGUUGAAAGGGUAGACGAGGAAAACAAAACGGUCACUAUGAACGUUGUGGAAGGAGAUAUCGUGAAGUAUUUCAAGAUCUUCAAGUGCACUAUUCAAGUAACCGUAAAGGAUAAGGGCAGCUUGGUGACAUGGAGUGUGGAAUAUGAGAAGCUAAAUGAGAGUGGCCCCGCUCCAGAUGCUUACCUCAACUUUGCAAUGGGUAUCGUUGAGAACGUGGAUGCUUACCUUCUCAAGGCAUGACAACAAAGGCGUAUUCAUGAGUCAUGACAUGGUAUGAAGCACUGGUACAACAAAAACUUGGGAAUAAUGUACCACACGCCAUGUCCUCAACUUCUACUGGUCAUCGCUAUAAUAUUAAAAGUAACUUCUUAUUCUACUUAUAUACCUUCCAAGUACUUUGUGUCUUGAAUGUUAUUAUCUAAAAAUAAAAAUAGAAAAUCUCGAAGAAGAGCAUUGUCCUUCGACACUUUUCUUUCUUUCUUUCUUUCUUCACUGCUGAGAAUCUCAACGUACGACUACCAUUUGCAUUAUGGACCCAUGACUGCCAUCCUUUGACCACAUUUGUUGCCCUCCCACCAAACUCCUACGCGUCAAAAUUUCUAUUGUUGCUUGAACAAUAUUUUCAUUUGAAAAACAAGGAAACGAUUUAAAAAUUCUUAUCUCAUGUCUAGUUACCCCGGUCGACCAUAUAAAGUACCACUUGAUCACUCUAGUCUCCUUUGCUAGCCCAUGGGCAAUGCAAUACCCAGCAGGUCCCAGUAACCAACUCUAUGUUCCUCCGAAAAUGAAACAAAUCAGGUCGUUUCAGGGAUGCAUUUGAUCUCACCCUUUUGUUUUGUGUCCGUUAUUUUUUAUUUUAAUAUCACAUGUUUAUAUUUUAAUCUCAUUCUUUACACCUGGAUUUGCUGAUAAAGGCAACUUUCUUUUUGAGCUUUGAUCGAGAUUUUUAUGAAAUUCCUGUGAUAUUACCGUCCUGCUCCUGCUUAAGAAUGUAACUUUGAUUUUGCUUUUAGUGAAGUCUUUAGGUGUUGUUUAUUCCCCAAAAUCUUUUGAUGUUUCUGAAAUUGCUUCAGUGGACUUUGAGAGGUUGCAGGUACCUCUUUUCUCCUGAAAUAGAAUUUGUUUCAGUGGAGCAAGACAACAGGAUGAGCAAAAAAUAGAACCAAUUUUAUUGAUAUAUAUCAGGUUUUUGAGACGUUGAAGAACAUUUCUAACAACUUUUUUUGAUGGGUGACCAAGCCUAUUAUGCCACAAUGCAUAUACAGAACAAGAAGAAAAAGAAGCAGGUGUUGGAACUACAGAAGAAUUGUAUACUAAGGGUUGUGUUGACAUACUGACAUAUGACUUAUGAGGAGUUGAGGGAGAGAAGCUGCCACUGAUUAUUAAUGAGAUCAAUUUGAGACUGAUAAAAAACAUAAAGACCAUCUUUAGGCCUACCCCUCCAGUAGCACUGUUUUGAAGUGAAAUUCAAAGAAGACAUUCUUUUGGGCAAAUUUUGACACACUGAGAAGGUUCUAAUUAGCAAUUUCAGGGACAUGAAGUGUUUUAAAGAGUAAUUUCAGCAAACAUAACUUCAACUUUACAUCCACCUGACCUCAUUAUUUCAGUUUGACAAGAGGGCUUAAUUAUAUCAGUAUGACUGCUAAGAAGACUUUGGAAUAUUAUAAAACGAGUCCAUCAAGUUCAAGGUUUGGAAUGGAAAGAUCAUGAGUAAUUUCACUACUUUUAAGCUGAAUAUGAGAAGGUAAAUGAGGAUGUCCCAGACCCAAUGCUUACUAAAUCAUUGAAGGUCACCUUCUUGAGGCAUAAUUCCAAUUCUUUUCAUCGAUGCUUCUUAGAUGUUAUAAAACAAUACUAUGAAAAUGAAAACGUAAUGUAAUUUUGUCAAAGCCUUUUCCUUAUUGAAGACUCUGGACUGAUUGCGUGGGUGCGCAACACCCACCAUAAUUCCCACACCAACGCCCAACUAACCAAAUCACGUAAGGCCUCACAUGGCCUCAUUAUUAUUUCUGUUGAAAGAUAAUACUAUAUUACAUACGAGAUGGCCAUUCUACCAGCCACCUGUAAAGUUGGUGAUAAAUUGAUACUAAAAAUAGAAGGAAAAUUAAGUUGAAAUUAAGGGUGUCUAUUUAAAUUUAAUUAUUCCCUAGAUAUGAUCUUUUGAUAUGAUUUGAACCCGUUAAUCAUUUAUUUUUAUAUAAAGAGACAAAAAUUCAAUUGUAUAAUCCAGGAUGAGUCACUUGGCCGGGUUUUCGACGACAGCUAAAUCAACCUUCAUUUAGUAAUGAUUGCCCAUGAAAUAAAUUAUCAUGUCUCCUCACAAUAUAAUAAACUAAUAAAAAAUAAAAGAAGAUCACAAAGAAAAGCAUCUUAGUGGAAGUUUUUUUUUUUUUUUUUUUCUUUCAUUUGUUGGUGGUGACACUCCGUGAAAUGUGAUCAACUAGCAUUUGAAUUACACAACCUAAUGCAAAUGAUAAAAAGCAUAAAUUACUUUAGAGUGUUUAGAAUUUGGAAGACUCUAGCUAGGAUGAUAUGGCAUGGGUCUGUGGCCGACAACCACCAAACCCAACGCUAAAUAAUUAUUAUUGAACCAUCAUCAUCAGUAUAAGCAACAUCAAACCUCUCCAUGUUAAACUGUACAUUUUAUUUCAUCCGGAUCUAAUAUCUAAUUAUAAAUGAUUAUGUAUGAGAUUGCAAUCCUUUGCUUAACUCUUUGAAAAUCUAAUUAUAAAUAUUUGGAAUAUCGAUUUCAUCUCUACCAUUAAAAGCAUAUGAAAAAAAUAUCUUGGUCUUUGAAUAAAAGUAAGUAUAAAUAAUUAGACUAGGGUACCAAAUGAUGAAAUCAAAUAUAAAUGAAUUAUAACCAUCAAAUUUCUAUUUUUCAUUAUUAAAUCAUUGGGCGCUCCAAUUUUUACAUGAUGUAUAACUAUUGACGGAAAUGUUAAUUAGGGAUGGCAACGGGGCUGGUUUUUUCGGGUACCCGCCCCCCCCUCCCCCCCCCCCGCCCCUAAUGGGACGGGGUUGAAAUUUAAUAAACGGGUUUUUAACGGGUAUGAGAUUUUUUUUUAAAACCAGGGGCGGGUUCGGGACGGGUUCGGGACGAGUUCGGGUAUUGCCCCAUUCCGCCCCGCCCCGCCCUGUUUACAUAUAAAAUCAAUUUUAAAAUUAAUUUUAUUUUACUAUUUUUAAUAUAUAGAUAAUAAUAAAAAAAUUAAUAAAAUAAGUUAUAAAAAAUAUAAUAAUUUUAUUAUUUAUAAAUAUAUUUAUUUUAAUGUAAUUAAAAAUUUUAAAAGUAAAUUUUUUUUUUUAUAAAAAAAAGGAGGCUAAACGGGGCGGGACGGGGAUGAGAAUUAUUUUUAAUAAACGGGGCGGGGUUGGGAUGGGGGCAACCCGUCCCGAACCCGCCCUGUUGUCAUUCCUAAUGUUAAUAUAAGGAUAUAAUAAUGGGUAAAAUUAGUUGAAAGUGUUUUUUUUAUGACAUAAAAUAAUUUUUCAAAUUUUAAUUUCUAUUUACUUUGUCUUCCCUUGUCAUGUAUCUUUGUAAUUUUCCGAUUUGUUUAUCAAAACAAUAAAUGAUGUCAUGUUAUGAUUUCUCUUUUUGUCUUCCUUUUUAAUUGACGUGUUUAUUGGAAUAAUAUAUUAUGUUAGACAAAAUAACACAUACCUCCACUGCCCAAAUCCCCUCCGUGACAAUGAACCCCAUCUUUAAGCAUUAUUAUAAAAUUAAGCAUAAAGUUAUUACAAGUUUCUUCCAUUUCACAUGCCUUUCCCAUAGAUUGAGUGGUGGAGAUGAUCAUUCUUGAACGAUUUAUAAUUUUAAUGAAUUCUGUCUAUUCUCAUAUCUUUUAAGAGGGAAUUCAAAUCAACUUAUCUUAUUUUCUCAACGCUACUUAACUUCCACGGCUUCAAAUUUACAUGAUCAUAUCAUUAUCAAUAACUUCGGCAUAACUAUUCAAAUUUUAAUAAGAACUUCAAAUCAUUGUUACCUUUAUUGCCUUAAAAAUCUUUUUCUUUGUCAAUGAUCCCUGCACGAUUAUUAAAUAAUAGGAUUGUUAUUGUCAUAUUAACUAAUUUUGAUAAUAUAGUCAUCGUCACGGCUGAGUGCCGUUUUCUUGGGAGAUUUUUCAUAAAUUUAAAUCAAUACCAGUUAUAGGAAAUGCGUCACAAAUUAGGAAGAUAUCGAGCUGGAAGCAGAUGAUAUAUAAUUCAUUAUUUUCUUCCUUAUUGAAGCUUGACAAACCAAUCCAAAUGCAUUAACGUGAGAAGCAAGGUUUUAUGCUCAUUUUCAAUGAACCUUGUCAACAUGCACGUCAAAAACAAUGAUUUAUUAACUACGUACAUGUAGAACUGCAUGGGAAAAAAAAAAUACAAUUAAGGCAUUGGGAUAUGAAUAAAACGCUUAACUUAAAAUUCAAAAUUCUCAAAACUACGUUUUUCACACCAAAAUGUUUCAUCCAGCCAACCUAAGACCGAGUGAAUCCUCCCUCUAAAGCACAUUGCCCAAGACUACAGGCAACGUAGUAAUUACCUAAGCAAAUACGUCAGAAUCAUACCAAUUUUUACCAAAGUGGGUAUCGGGAAGGAGCUUUGCCUAAUUCAUCCUUCUAUAUAUAAGGACAAGGUUAUCUACUUCUUCUCAUCACUGCCUUCUGUUUGAAUAUUUUGUAGUUAGUUUUAUCAAUCCAGCUAGUGUUAUUAUCAGAAAAACAUGGCUCUAACUGGUAAGUUGGAGACUGAAACAGAGAUCAAAGCACCUGCUGAUAAGUUCUUUAAAAUCUUCAGGAGCCAAGCACACCACCUUCCUAAUAUCUGCUCCGAUAAAAUACACAAAAUCGAGGUACAUGAAGGUGACUGGGAGACUCAGGGCUCCGUCAAGCAUUGGAGUUUGACCGUUGGUAAGGCAUCUCAAACUAAGAACCACAAAACACUAGCGUUAUAUUCUGUUAAUUAAAAUAAGUUAUUAUGUUUUUGUUUCAUUUCAUUGUUGUUUUCUUCACCUUUCAAUUAUUCUAUUAGAAUAAAAGCAUGCCUCUUUGUACAAUUUUUUUCUUGCAAAGAAGUGAUCGAGUCUGGGCCGCUAGUGACUAUGAUGGUUCUUAGGAAUGUACAUGACAUCUAAUAAUAGCUUCAACAUAUUCCAAUUAUGUUUAACCUCACAUUUUGGUUUCAACUAGGAGAGAAUUCUGAGAGUAUUAAAGAGACUGUGGAUCAAAUAGAUGAAGAAAACAGGUCCAUCACAUUCAAGGUUUUGGAUGGGGAGGUGCUGAAAGACUACAAGAGCUACAAGUUCACCACACAAGCGAUACCAAAGGGGGAGGGCUGCUUGGUGAUAUGGACCAUCGAAUAUGAGAAGGCAAGUGAGGGUGGCCCAGAUCCCCAUAACUGCCUAGAGUUUUCAGUUAAUAUCACCAAAGAUAUCGAAAGUCACCUUCUCAAUGCGUAACACCAAGGCCAUAUCCACCCUUUGCUAGUAUCUUGCUCGUAAAUAAAGUUUGGAACUUGGAAGUCCAUCUAUCUCUAUCUUUCAAUAAACGCAAAUUCCAGGUGUGGACUUGGUGAUUAGUGCCGAGAAGAUAAACUAGGUUUGCCUUGGUUAUUUGUGCAAUAAUAUUAGUGCAUGAGUGGGAUUGAUUGUAUGCUAUCUUGUCCGGGAGUUGCUUUGUGUCUUUUGUAAUGGGAUUACUACAUGUAAUGUGAAGACUAUAUGAUGCAUGGGGAAAUAAAUUAAGCGAAAACUUCCAUGGGCUCCAUCAUGAGGAGCCUUUGAGUAAGUCCACAAGCCUACAUUCUUGCAUUCUAGUCACAUGUGUCAAAAUAAGUCUCUACAAAUUAAAGUCUUAUUGUCAAAAUCCCACUUUACACAUAAUCUAAAUAAUUUAGCUAAAAUCUAAUAAGUAUGUCUCUCUUUAUAUGUACUUACCAUCCCAACUUUUAAAUUUAGGGAUAUCUAUGUAAUUUAGAUUUUAAAAAGAAAAUUUUAGGGAUAUUUACAAAGAUAAAUGAAAUAUUUUUGGUUCCGAUAACCAUUAUUUUUAUCUCAUUUUGGUUUCUUUGCGUUAUAAAAAAAAUGGUUUGUAGAGAUAAACUAGAGAAAAAAAAAAAUUAUACAAUGGUUUGUAGAGAAAUUUGAUUCGAAAAGUUAGAAAAGAUGAUUUGUUUUUUGCAUUUGCUUCAUUCUAAAAUUCAAUCACUAUCUUUUAUCUCAUUUUGGUUUCCCCACAUUAUCAAAAAAUGAAGGAUAAAAAUAAACUGGGGAAAAAAUUAUACAAAGGUCUCCGAGAACUUUGAUUUGAAGAGUUAGAAAAGAAGAAUUUUUUUGCAUUUGUUUCAUUUUAAAAUUCAAGGUUUUUGGAUUUCUAUUAUAUAUUAAUUAUGAGGAUAGUAGAAUAAUAAUAAUAAUAAACAAAAACUAGUUAUUAGUGACCUUGAUCAAUAGAGUAUAAGUUGUUGACCUUUAUUAUCUUUGUUAGAAGUAGUUAACGAUGCAAUGUAACCUUAGCCAAUAAAGAUGUUUUGAUAUACAUUGAUUGAAAAAUGUCCUUUUAAAACUAGUUAUUAUUGACCUUGGUCAACACAGAGGAUAAGUUGUUGACCUUUAUUACCCUUGUUAGGAGUAGUGAACGGUGUAGUAUAACCUUAGUCAUUAAGGAUGUUAUUAGCCUUUUGCUAUAUCAUUGAUUGAAAGUUGUCCUAUCCACCAAUAAGGAGAAUGAAGGCUAGCCACCAAGUACUAGUUUUAGUAUUUUGGCACAAUAUUAUUACUAGUGAGUCAAAGUGAAAUAUUUGUUGAUAAAACUUUUUUAAUAUGAAUUGAGUAAGCAAAAUAUAUUAUUUAAUUCUAUCAUUAAAUUGGAAGUGUUUAAAUUUUCAAAAACAAUUAUUUUAAUUAUUGAAUCAAAUGAGCUUACAUGUUAAUAGACUUUUAUAAAGAUGUGGUAUCUUCCGAAAUUUUAUUAUAUAUAAUAAUUGAUCUUCCUUAUACUAACUUUUAUCAUUGAGCCAUCGAGUUCACUUUUCUCUGUUAUUCUCCAUUUCAAUUAUAAAUGAUAUAAAGAGGGAUGAGGUAAGAAAAAUAUUUCUAUUAGAGACAGCUUUGGAAUUGAUUUAUUUUAGGAUUAUUUACUAGACUGAAUUCAUUUAUAAUUUCUAAAUUUCUUUUUGAAGAAUUUGAGAAAAUUAAAUUAAUUAUUGAGAGAUUUUAAUUAGUUUUAAAUUUGUUACUUAAAGUCGUUCACAUGUUGGAUUCUAAUAUUUGAUACGUGAAACUAGCAUGAAGGGCUUGACCUCCGGGUUUGGGGCGUCGCAGCUGACUUUAGAUUACAGAAUUAUUAAUCAACCUACCAAUCUUCAAAGCAAUCUAGGAUGCAAUAUGGUUUUGUGAUUUAAGAUCAAGUGGACGCUUCAUUUAUUAUGUCUUCAAAAAAACAUUUUGGGCCUCAAUUCGAGAUUAUCAGAUAUGGAUUCUAACAGUUGCUUCCAAUCAAAUCAGUGUCACAGAAAUCGCUACCAUUGUGGUACCUGAAAAAAAAAAAAAGAGACUCCUUCCCUUAAUAUUGAAAUUUAUCUGAAGCUAUGCAGUAAAUAAAUGCCCCAUUUUGUGCGUCAUAAUGGGGGAUCACAUUCAGAAUCUUCUGCACAUGCAAAUUAAAAUCAAAAUCAAGCCAUUGGCCUAUCACAUUACCAUUUUUGGCCCUUUUGUUUUGUUGUUUUUUUCUUUUUUUGGCGUGUAUAUAAAAAGCAACCACAUUAUCCAACUUUUAUUGAAAACACCAUAUUAUCAGAUACAAAAACGCCACAUCAUUAUUAUUGAAAAUUAAAUUCCCAUAUAUAGAAAGCCACAUAAAAUUCAGUGCCAAUCACAAACAUUCGUUGAUAUUCACUAGGAUAGAGAUAGAGUGCCCAUAUAUGGACAGUGCACCAUACCCGCCGUGAAGUGAUUGGAAGAGUGUGGACUAUGUCAAGCUCCGGACUUAUUUGUAUAGGUAAGGCAACGCUAACCAUUAUUAUUCCCAUGCCACCCUCAAUCAAGCACAGUCAUACACUCGGCACAUGGCACUUCUUGUUUUUAAUUAUUAUCAUAGUGAACAAUGUUUUCAUAAUCGGAUCGAUCAUCGAACCGAAAAAGUUAUCGAUUUACAGUCCAUUAGUCGAACCGACGGUCGAACCAAUAACAUCAUAAAUAUGUAAUUUAUAUAUUAUUAAAAUUAAAAAUAAUUAUACAAAUUUUAAAAUAUAUAUGAAUAAAUUAAAAAUCAAUAAUAUUAUUUUGUAUCUUUAAUAUUAUCAAAUUAAAUCAUAUUAAUAUUUUAAAUUUUAUUGAAUGAAAUAUAUAUAAUAUUUAAAUAUGAAUAUAUUAAAAAUGAAAAUUUAAUUAAACUAAUUUUAUAAUUUUUAAAAAUAUUAUAUUAUUUUUAUUUAAUAUUAUAAAAAAAUUUAAAAUCCAAUAUAUAUUAUUUUGUUUGGCAUAUUAAAUAAUAAAAGAUGUAUAGCCGAGUGGUCCUAGGUUGGUUAUAGACCUUGAGGUCCAAGUUCAAAUCCUUUGGUGGAUUUGUUAAUUUUUUUUUUCAUUGAUUAGGUUAGUUAGCAAUCCCACACUAAGAGGAAUAAGGAUGCUUAUAAAAGCUAGCCUCAUUAUGGGCAAAGGCAUCACCUCAUCUGGUGGGCUUAAGACUCAGCCCAUAAAAUGGUUGGGUGCGGUGUGGGCUUUGUCACAUUAAGACAGGGCCCAUCAUGGGCUUUUGCUAAAUUUUUUUAUACAAGGGAGCCUUCCAUGCUUGCAAAAUGGUGGGAUAACUUGAACCGAUCGAUUCGCUCAAAACCGUCUGAUUUCGUUGGGUUAUCGAUUCAAUCAUCGAUUUAGGUGAUUUGUGACCGGUCCAAUGCUUAGACGGUUUAAUAAAGUAAAUCUAAUAAAAAAUGUGAUGGAUCGACGAUUGAACCAGUUGGAUCAGUCGGUCCCACCCGAUUUUUAAAACAUUAGAUAAUAACAAAUUAAAAGAAGGGUGUCUCCUCAUAUGAGUUUUUUUGAAGUUCUCUACUCUUGGAGUGACUGAAAGGAUAACUGCAGCCUGGUGAGAUGGACUUUGGAAUAUGAGAAGUCAAAUCAGAGGCUCCUUCCUCCAGAUGCUUACCUCAGCCUUGUAAGCAUGAGUAAAGAUAUGGAUGGUUUACCUUCUCAAGGCAUAAACCGCAUAACAGCAAGGCCUAUAUCCUUGACUUGGUCUGAAAGCAUCCUAGCUUGGGUCCUUCUGGGAAUGGGAUUGCCACACGUAUGACCUCUGUAUCAUCAGUUUUGGGGCAAAAUAGCCAUUUUAUGUAUAAAAAAAAAUAAGCUUUAGCCCUUUACAAAACUUAUGUUUAAACUAGCUCACAUAGAGUCAUGUCAUCAUUUUUCUUUUAAACUCAAUUAGACUUUAUUUUUUAACUGAAACUUCAAUUACCAAUUGAGAAUUCAUUUUUUAACUAAAACUUCAAUUUACAAUUGAGGUUUUAGUUAACUUUGUUUUAAAUUUAAAUAAAAAAUUAAAUUAUAAAUUAUUAUUGAAAUUUAAAAAAUAUAUUUUAAUAAUAAUAAUUUAUAUAUUUAAACUUAAAUAUCUAAUAUUACUUCAAUAAAGAUAAAUUGACAAAUAUAAUAAUAAAUAAAUAUUUUAUUUAUCAAUAAAUUAAUAAUUUUAAAAUAAUAAAGUUAUAUGAAAUCUAAAUAAGAUAUAAAAUUAUAUAAUUUGUUAAUUUAAGAUAUUUAAUUUUUUGUAUUUUUAAGAUAUUAAUUUAUUUGUAUUUUGACAAAUUUAUCUUUAUUAAAAUAAUAAUAUAUUCUUAAGUUUCAUAUAUAGAUUUUUUUAUUAUUUUAAAGCAUAUAUUUAUAGUUUACGUAAAAAAAUACUAUUAUUUGUACAUACAAUAUAUAUGCCUUGAAGAUACAUUUUGAAAUUAGUUAAUAAAAUUAAUUAGAAAAAAGUCUACUAUAAAAUUUAAUUUUUAAUAGUUUCAUCAAAGUCACAAAAAAUACUCAUUAAAUAUUUAUAUUAUGGAAAAAAAAUGCCCCUCCCUAAUAUUACAUGUGAUAUAACUUAAAUUAAUAAAUUGUAUAAUUUUAUAUUUUAUUUAUAUGUCAUAUAAUUUUAUUAUUUUAAGAUUAUUAAUUAAUUGAUAAAUAAAAUAUUUAUUUAUUAUAUUUAUCAAAUUAUCUUUAUUGAAGCAAUAUUAGAUCUUUAAGUUUAAAUAUAAAAUUUUUUAUUAUUAAAGUAUAAUUUUUUAAUUUCAAUAAUAAUUUAAAAUUUAAUAUUUUUAAUUAAAUUUUAAAGUAAAAAAAUAAAAUAACUGAAGUUUCAAUUGACAUAUCUUAUUUAGAUUUCAUAUAAUAUUAUUAUUUUAAGAUUAUUAAUUUAUUUAUAAAUAAAAUAUUUGUUUGUUAUUAUAUUUAUUAAUUUAUUUUUAUUGAAGUAAUAUUAGAUCUUUAAGUUUAAAUAUAUAAAUUAUUAUUAUUAAAAUAUAUAUUUUUUAUUUCAAUAAUAAUUUAUAAUUUAUUUUUUAAUUAAAUUUUAAAAUAAAAUAAAAAUUUUAACUAAAACCUCAAUUGUCAAUUGAGGCUUUAGUUAAAAAAUAAGUUUCGAUUGACAAAUGAUACUUCAAUUAAAAAAUGAAGUCUUAGUUGGUAAUUGAGACUUCAACUUAAAUUUUAAAAAAAAAAAAUUAUGACAUAACUCCUAUAUGUGAUAAUAAAGGAACUAGUUUAAACAUAAGUUUUAUAAAAGGGUUAAAACUUAUAUUUUUUUCUACAUAAAAAACUAUUUUGCCCUAAAACUCCCGUAUCGUCGACUAGCUACUGCUUUACUCCAUGUAACAUCUUGUCUACUUAAUUAUAUGAACUUCCUGAAUUAAUGCUGGAAUGACAAACCAAGUUUUAUUGAAAAUGGAAACCUUCUUAGAAUCAAACAUUUGCUCGAACAAAUUUCGCAAUAAAAAGAGGAGAGUUGUGAAAAGAAGCAUUUUUCCUGCAGCCAAUUACCUUUUCAUACAUUACUUUAAAACAAAUUAACAAAUAGUGAUCUCAUAUUUUACCUUUUCUGUUGCAGAUUACUUUUAAAAAUAUUCUCUCCACAGGCACUCCUACGGAAUCUUUCUCCAAAUCAAACUGUACAUUUUACUCAAAUUUUAAUAUCUAAUUAUAAAUAAUUAUGGGUGAGAUUGCAAUCCUUUGCUUAGCUCUUUGAAAAUCUAUGAUGAUACUCGGUAUUAAUAUUUUAUUUUAUUAAAGAUAAAAAUAUCAAAAUAAUUUUAGAACUUUUUAGUGGGGAUAAUACUUCCCCAUUAGGCUGCUUACAAGGCAUAAAUUAAUAUUUUUUUAAUUUUAAUAAAAGCAAUUUGGUACAGUUGACUUGAUUGAUAACUAUUUAAGAUAGGAUUUAGACUAAUUUAGAUUAAUUAGAUUGCAUUUACAGUUCCGUUACCUCGAAACAAAGUUGGUGCAACAUUAACCAUGAUUAUGGUGAUAUAUUUUAGUUUUAUAUUUUUUAAGGGGAUAAUUUUUUUUUUUAAUGGUUUGAUGUUAGCUUAUAAGAAAAACCUAAACCAUAAAAGCCGAAUCUUUCCAAUAUUGAUCCAAUUUCUAUCAUUAAAAAUAUAUGAAUAAAACUUUUGAUCCUUAAAUAAAAGUAUACAAACUAUCGUACAAAAUAAUGGAAUCAAAUAUACAAAAUAAGAUUAAGGAAAUGUUUGAUAAAACUUAAUAUUUAUUAUUUAAUAAUUUAAAUUAACUCUAAGUUAAAUUAUAUUUAAGUUGUUGACUUAAAACUUAUUAUUUAAUUUUUAUUUUAAGUAUUAAGGUUAUUUAAAAAAAUUAACUUACAAUUUAUAUUAAAUCAUCAAAUUAAAAUAUUUAUCUUAAUAAAUUAUAACUAAGACAAAUAAGGUUAAAUAACAAUGGAGGUUGUGAAGUCAUAAAAGAGAUCAUAAAUGUAAUUGAGAGAAAAAAAGACAAAAAUAUAAAAUGAAGAUACUGACUUAAAAAUAAAUAAAUUUUUUUAUUUAUUAAGUCUUUUAUUUUAAGUCAUACAAUAAAAUUAUUUUAUCAAACAUAUUUAAUUUAUUUAAUAAUAUAAUUAAAAUAUUAAGUCACUUAAAGUUAUUAAAUUGGUUUACCAAACACGUACUAACGUACAAAUAAAUAAGACUAAAAUAGAAAACAAUGAAACUUAAACACAUAUAUGACAUGGUCUAUUUAAUUGUAUUUUUUUAUAAAUGCCUCUUUAAUACUUCCCAAAUCAUAACAUUAAAUUUCUUAAAUUGAUAUAAAACAUUUUUUUUUUUCUANNNNNNNNNNNNNNNNNNNNNNNNNNNNNNNNNNNNNNNNNNNNNNNNNNNNNNNNNNNNNNNNNNNNNNNNNNNNNNNNNNNNNNNNNNNNNNNNNNNNACAUAUAUGACAUGGUCUAUUUAAUUGUAUUUUUUAUAAAUGCUCUUUAAUACUUCCAAAUCAUAACAUUAAAUUUCUUAAAAUUGAAUUAUAAACAUUUUUUUUUUCUAUGAUUGAAUCAUUUAGCACUCCAAGUUUUACUAUUGGACGAAAUGUUAAGGAUCUAAUAAAUGGGUAACAUUAAUUUGCUGAAAUAGUUUUUCUUAUUACUUAUAAUGGUUUUAAGAAUGUUGAAAAAAAAAUUCAUGGGAAAACAUUUAUCAAACUCAAAUUUUGAUUCCUAUUUACUUUAUCUUUCCUUGUCAUGUCUCUUUCUAAUUUUCCUUUUUUAGCGGUUUGUUUAUUAGAACAGUAUAUCAUGCCUGUGAUUCUCUUUCUAUCACUUCUUUUCAAUUGAUUUGUUUAAUGCAAUAAUAUUUGUUUAAUGCAAUAAUAUAUCAUGUUAGACAAAAUAACACCUACCUACUACCCAAAUCCCCAAUGUGACAAUGAACUCUAUCUUUAAGCAUUAUUAUAAAAUUAAACGUAAAGGAUAUUAUAAGUUUCUUCCAUUCCACGUGCCUUUCCCAUAUAUUGAAAGGUGGAGGUUAUCAUUUUUAAAAGAUCAAUAAUUGUAAUGAAUUUUCCAUUCCACGUGCCUUUCCCAUAGAUUGAAAGGUGGAGGUGAUCAUUUUUAAAAGAUCAAUAAUUUUAAUGAAUUUCAUAUAUUUGCAUAUUUUUUAAGAGGGAAUUCAAAUUAACUCAUCUUAUUUCUCAAUGUUACGUAACUCCUGCCUCAAAUUAAAAUCAUCAUAUCAUUAUGAACAACUUUGAUACAACUAUUCAAUUUUUAAUAUGAAUUCUUUCAUUCUCAAAUCAUUGUUCAAGUUAGCUUUAUUAACUUAAAAAAACUCAUUCUUUGUCACUACUCCCUCUAUGAUUAUUAAAUGAUAAAAUUGUCAUUGUCUUAAAAACUAAUUUUGAUAAUAUAUUCAUCAACAUAUUUACAAAUUUAAAUUAAUACAAGUUGUAAGAAAUGUAUCAUAAAGAAGAUACAAAACUAGAAGUAGAUGAUAAUUAAUUAUUUUUUUUCUUUAUUGAACUUUGACACCCCAUCCAAAUGCAUUAACGAGAAAAAUAGUGUUUUAUGCUUGUUUUCAAUUAAUCUUGUCAAUAUGUACAUGAAAAACAAUGAUUUAUGCUUAUAAAUCUUAUCAAUUCGCUUAUUUGUAUAUGUAAAAUGAAAUUAUUGAAACUACACGUAGAAUUGCAUGAGGAAAAAAAUACAACUACUGCAUUUAUAAAUGAAUAAAAGCUUGGCUUAAAAUUCAAAAUUCUCAAAACUAUGUUUUCCACACCAAAAUAUUUCAUCCAGCCAACCAAACACCGAUUGAAUCCUCCCUCUAAAGCAUAUUGCCCAAGAUUACAGGCAACGUAGUAAUUACCUAGGCAAGUACGUCAGAAUUAUAGCUUCUUUUUUUUUUUUGUUUUUUUUCAGUUCAUUGACUCGGCUCCACCCAACCACUAUCAGUAUCAGUUACUACCAGAGAGGGUACUGGGUACUGGUUACUGGGCAGGAGCUUUUCCAAAUUCACAACCCGUCUUCUUUAUAUAAGGGCAAGUUUAUGUAUUUCCUCUCGCCAUUGCCUUUUGUUCGAAUCAUUUGAAGUUGAUUUUAUUAAUCCAUCAGAAAAACAUGGCUCUAACUGGUAAAUUGGAGAUUGAAACAGAGAUCAAAGCACCUGCUGAUAAGUUCUUUAAAAUCUUCAGGAGCCAAGCACACCACCUUCCUAAUAUCUGCUCCGAUAAAAUACACAAAAUCGAGGUACAUGAAGGUGACUGGGAGACUCAGGGCUCUGUCAAGCAUUGGAGUUACACCAUUGGUAGGAUAUGCAACUCGAACUCAGAACCCCAAAACACUAGCUAGCAUUAUAUUCCGUUAAAAUGUUUUUUGAUUUUUUUUCCCCAUUUCAUUGUUGUUUUCUUCACAUUUUUUUAUUCUUUUAGAAUAAAUGCAUGGCUCUUUGUACAAUUUUUCUUUUUUUCUUGCAAAGAAGUGGUCAAGUCUGGGCCGCCAGUGACUAUGAUCGAUGGUUCUUAGUAAUGUAUAUGGCAUCUAAUAUUAGCUUCAACAUAUUCCAAUUACUAGGAGGGAAUUCUAAGAGCAUUAAGGAGAGUGUGGAAUCAAUAGAUGAAGAGAACAGGUCCAUUACGUUCAAGGUUUCGGAUGGAGAGGUGCUGAACGACUACAAGAGCUACAAGUUCACCACACAAGCAAUACCAAAGGGAGAGGGCUGCUUGGUGAAAUGGACCAUUGAAUAUGAGAAGGCAAGUGAGGAUGGGCCAGAUCCCCAUGACUACCUGGAGUUUGCAGUUACUGUCACCAAAGAUAUCGAAAGUCACCUUCUCAAUGCAUAACACCAAGUCCAUACAUACCGUCUGCUAGUAUCUCUAUUAAAUAAAGUUUGGAACUUGGAAGGGCAUCUACGAUCUCUAUCCUUCAAUAUAUGCGAAGGCUUAGGGGAACUUUUAGCAGCUGUGGCUUGGUGAUUAAUGCUGAGAAGAUAAACUAGGUUUCCCUUAAUUAUUUGUGUAAUAAUGUUAGUGCAUGCGUGUAAUCGGUUGUAUGCUUGUCUGGACUCUAGGGGUUGCUUUGUGAUUGUUAAUUGGUGUCUUUUGUAAUGGGAUUACUACAUGUUAUGUGAAGACUAUAUGAUGUAUAAGGAAAUAAAGUGAAAAUUACCAGGGGCUAACUCCAUCAUGAGGAGCCUCUGAGUAUGUCCACAAGUCUACAUUCUUGCAUUCUAGUCACAUGUGUCAAAAUCAGACCCUAACAAAUUACAGUCUUGAUCAUUGAAGGGGUAAAAUCCCACUUUACAUAUAAUCUAAAUAAUUUAGCUAAAAUCUAAUAAGAAUAUCUCUCUCUACAGGUAUGUAACCUUCCAACCUUGAAUUUAAGGAUAUUUAUAUAAUUUAAAAUUAUAAAAAGAAAAUUUUGGAUAUAGGACAAAUUAAUUUUUUUUUUAAAAAAUAACGAAAGUGAAUGAAAUAUUUUUGGUUCCUAUGACCACCCACUUUUUUUACUUUUUAUUUUUAUCUCAUUUUAGUUUCUCCACGUUAUAAAAAAAUGAAAAGAUAAAAUAGAGAGGAAAAAAGACAACUUGGAUUUGUAGAAGUUUCUUUCUUUCAUGGUGUUUUUCUGUUCUGUUUUUGCCUUUGUUUCAUUCUAAAAGUCACUCACUAUCUUUAUCUCAUUUGGGUUUCCCCGCGUUAUCAAAAAAUGAAAAUAUAAAACAAAGAGGAAAAAAAAACCUAUACAAAGGUCUUUGGAAUUUUGAUUCAAAGACUUAAGAAAAGAAUAAUAAAUUUUUGCAUUUGUUCCGUUCUAAAAUUCAAGGUAAGUUUUUCACAUAUAAUUUUUUUUUAGGAAUUCUAUUAUCUAUUAAUUAUGAGAAUAGUAAAUAUAUAUAAUAAUAAUAAUAAUAAUAAUCAUCAUCAUCAUCAUCAUCAUCGUCAUCAUCAUUAUCAUUUUAAAACUAGUUAUUAGUGAUCCUAAUCAAUCGAGAACAAGUUGAUUUUCAUUACCCUUGGUAAUGGUAGUGAUAAAAUAUAUUUUUAGUUAAUAAGGGUGUAAUUAGCUUUGGGGUUUCAUUGAUUAGAAAUUAUUUCAUCUACUAGUAAAAAAAACAAAGUAAAACUAACCAUCAAGUGCAAAUCAUGAAUUUUUUUAAAUAUGAAUUGAGUAUACAAAGUAUAUUAUUUAAUUAUAUAUUUAAAUUGAAAGAGAUUAAUUUUUCAAAAAUAGUGAAUUUAAUCAUUGAAUCAAAUCAACUUACCUGUUAUAAAGAUGUGAUAUGUUCCAAAAUUUAGUUGUAUACAAUACGUGACCCUUCUUAUUAAACUAUCCUUUAUCAUUGAGCUAUCUAACUUACCUUUCUCAAUUAUUAUCCUUUAAGGUACAUCAAAUAUUGGUAUAAAUGAGAAGAGAUCGAGAUAUGAAAAGUAUUUCAAAUAGAAACAUCUUUAGAAUAGAUUUAUUUUUUAGGAUUGUUUACUUAGAUCAAGUUUAUUUUAAUUUCUAAAAUGUUUUUUUAAGUGUUUGAGAGAAUUAAAGUUAUUAUUUAGAUAUUUUAAUUAGUUUUGGAUUUGUUUGUUAAGGUCAUUCAUACAAAGAUGAUAUCCAUUUCUGUGUUAUAUUUUAUUUUAUUUAUUUAUUUCUUAUUUCAUGUAUUAAGUUUGAUAAAACUGAAGGUGAAAUCAACAUUGAAUUGCUAAAAAUGUCAAUUACUAUUGUUAAUUUAUCACAAUUAUGAUUUUUUAAUUGUAGCACAUAGUAAAAUUAUUAUUAUUAUUAUUAUUAAUAUUUAUACUCUGGUCGAACUUAUCCAUGGCCAAUCCAUCAUGUAGGCCAAUUUUGUCAAACUUAUCCAUGGCCCAUCCAUCAUGUAGGCCAAAUUUUUAUUAGCAUUUUUGGGUCAUAACUCUAGAUGCUGACAUUAAAGCAUUUCUGGCAUAAUAAUUAUUGGAAAAGGAUGUCUCCUCUUUCAUGGAUCACAACCAAUACAGCAAAGAUGAUGAUAGAUAGCAUCCUUAUCACCUCAUGUGUCUUGACCUCUUCUUCAAGCUUGAGUGUCUUGUCCUAUAUUUAACGCAUGUACCAUUGCCUCCAAGAUAUGGUGACAGGAAUUAUAUAGCUACUGACUAGCUAGUCUUCACUCCAAAAAUAUGAUGGCCACUUUUUUGAAAUAUAACUCUUUAUCCUAUUGACUUAAACUCACCACCUCUUUCAGAUCCUCCACAAGGAUCAACUUAUUAAGAGUUUGGUCGAAGUUUGAUCCACUUUUCUAAAUGAGCAAUGUUAAAUUAUUUUAUUCAAACAAAUUUGAUGAUCAAAUAUCUCUUAUUUUCUCAAAUUUAAAUAACAUUCCUUUAUAAAAAUAAUUAUAAAAUUUAUUAUAAUCACUCAUUUUCAAUGGCUCAUUAGUAGAUGUUCAUUGUAUUAAAAUACAUUUAUAUGAUUAAGAAAAACUUAUACAUUUCUAUUUUUUUUUUCUAUGCAUAAUUUAUAAUAUCUCAUAUAGGAUUUAUUGGGUUUAGAAACAUGUAAUAUUUAUAUAAUAGUGAGUGAAUUAUUAUAAAUGGUAUGAAAAUUGAUUUUCAACCCUUUAUGAGAAUUUAUUUAAUACUACAAUAUAUGACUCUAUGUUUGAUUAUGUAAUCCUAUAAGACACGAUGUCCAUUAAGUUCAUUAUAUUAUUUUUAAUUAUGUAAAAAUAUUUUAAAAUUAAAAAAAUUCAUUAAACUUAGUGCAGACGCUAUCUAUAUAAAAGGAAAUAAAUGGUUAUACUUCAUCAUAUUCGUUUCUCAUAUUUGAUAUAUAUCAAUUUCAGCGACUAUUAUUCAACAUUGCCCGAAGCAAUAGGUGCCUCACUUUUACAAAGAAAACUUCCUCUAUUGAUAUUUCUCAAAUAUAAAUUCAUGUCAUGGACUCAUGGUUAACAACCGAUAGAUCCUAAAACAAUUAGAUAUCUCAGAUAUUGAUUGACCAAAUGGACAACCGAUGCUAUAGUAAGAGCUGUUGCUGUUAUCUUUUAAUUUAAAUAUACACAAACGACAAAAUGCUUAACUAAUCCACCACCCAGGCGCCGGGCCACAGAAAUGAAAUACCGCCUACCCCAACAUUUUGGAAUUAAAAAUCUACACCACCCAGAUCUUGCUGUGAUUUGGUAAAUCCCGAGAAAUUGACAACCUUCCUACGCUGGGGAGGCGUGGUUCCAUUCAAUGCCAACAUUUUCGGAUGGGUCCAGAGAGUUGUACAGUGACUUUUAAAUAAAGAAUUGUUUUAAACCUUGACUUUGGGCUCUUUAUCAGGAAUAUGAAAAUAUUGGGCAAUGACUAGAUUCGAGAGCAGGUUGCAUGCAUAGAUAUCGCAUUAAUUUUUAGCAAUCGUUAUGACGAAAGAAAAUCUGCAGAACCAAGCGAAUUUUCCUAGUCAUCAUGAGAGACAUUAGACAAGGUUUUCAAUUCAUAAAAUUGCCUUAUCAUCUGGAAUUAAAUAUUUUCAAGCUAAGGAUGAGGUUCAAUCCGUACGGGGCAAUGAAAAUAUAUGGAUGCCCUAUAGAGUGGUUGAACAUUCUACAGUUUCGUCCCUAUUUAUAGAAGAAGAUGAAAUUUUAAGCAAUUUGCUUCAAUGCAAUUUUAGCAUAUUUCAGCUAGUCAUAGCAACGUCUAAUUUCGUUGAUGUAGAAGAAGCUAACACCAAAGAUUCAUCUAGGUAGAAAGAAGUAUCGAGCAUGUAACUAACCGCAGAACUCACAUCUAGGGACCCUAUUGUAAAUAUAACAGGUGAUGGACAUAAAGAUAGAUAUGAGUAAAAGAGUGGAACAUAAAAUCCAAAUUUCAAAAGUAUGAUAGUUUUUUAGUGUUUCUUUGAAUCUCGUAGGAAUUUAGGUCAUUUUCAAUCUCAUCCAUGAGACAAGGUACAAUAAUUGUUGAAGAAUAAGAGUAUUGUUGGGCAGUUCGGCGAGCUAUAUAUAAAGAGAGAGACUUCUUAACCAUAUAAAUAUUAUCCUCUAUAACUCUAAAUUUUUUUUUCCUUUAUCCAAUAUAAAAUAUCACAAUCACUUUUAUGUAUGCACUCUUUUUAAUCACGUCGCAUAAAAUUACACCAUUUUCAAAGCUAAAUAAACUCCUAUAUAGGGGUCAUAUAUUGACUUCAAUACUCUUUGAAACGACUCACACUUAAUCAUAUAAACUCAUUAUAAUAAUGUAUUUCCUAAUUUCAUGGAAUUUCAAUAAAAUAUUUAUUACUUUCAAAUGGGAAUUAGAGAGGAAUGUUGUCUAGCUAACUCAUAAUUCUUCUUUAUAAGUUCAAAUUAGGUAUUUACUUCUUCCUACCAUUACCUCAUAUUUUGAUUGUUUCUUCGUUAAUAUAUAGUUGGUUAAACUAAUAAACUAGAGGUUAGGAUGGAGAUCAAUUUAGAUUAUGUUUGUUUUGAGUUUAAUAAACCCUUACGACUUUAAAAUGUGUUUAGAUAGUUAAGAGAAACUUAUACAUAUAUAAUAUUAAAAAAAUUUCCUCAUUUAAUGUGAGAUAUUAUAAUCAUCACUCAUGUAGACAUAAUAUAUUUGUUGUAAGUCAGAAGAUUGUAAAACCAAACAAAUUUUUUCAUUGAAAUAUAAUAUUAUUUGUAAUGGUUCACUUUCUCUCAUGGAUCCCAACUCCAUUAGGUUCUUCAUGAAGCUUGUUUCAGUUUAUUAACCACCGAUGUAGCAAAGAUGAUGAUAAGUAGUAUUUUUGUUUCUCAUAUGUUUUCAGACCUCAUCAAGCUUGAGUGCCUUAUCCCAUCUCUAACGCAUGUACCAUUGCCUCCAAAAUAUGUUGCCAGAUUAUACAUAAUAUCAUAAUUAUAGCUACUGAAGUCCAACGACUACCUAGCUAGUCUUCACUCCCAAAAACAUGAUGGUCACUUCUUUGAAAUAUAACUCUUAUCCUAGUGACUCAAACUCACCACCUCAUUGACAUCCGUCAUAAGAAUUUCAGAGACUCUUCAAAGUUUGAUCCACUUUUAUAGAUGAAUAAUGUAAAAUUCUUUUAUUCAAACAAAUUUGAUGAUCAAAUAUCUUUUCUUUCCUAAAAAUUAUAUUUCCUUUUUAUAAAUCUUAUUUUAAUGACCCAAUUACAGUAUGGUAGAUAUUGUUUGUUUCGAGUCCAAUAAACCCUUAUAACUUUAAAAUAUGAUUAAAUAGUUAAGAGAAACUUAUAAAUAUAUAAAUGUGAGGUCAAAUAAAUUUUCAUAUUGAGAUAAAAGAUUAACUUUAAUACUAUUUGUAAUGGUUUACUUUCUUUCAUGUAAACAUCAUCCACUUUAUACUCAAUGAAUCAUUGAAGCUUUAAAACAUAUUUACAUGAUUAAAAGAAACUCGUACAUAUAGUAUUAGAAUUUUUUUUUUCUGACCCAUGAUUUGCAAUAUAUGUAUAAAUACGUUUUAAAGUUAUGAGGAUUUAUUAAGUUCAGAGUAAAUAGUAUUUAUAUUAAAUGGAAUGACAUGUCACAUGCAAAUAAUAUCAAACUCAAUCUCCAAUUUUUAUAUAAGAGUUUGUUUGAUUUUAUAAAAAAUGUUUGUGUGUUUCAUUCUACAAUUCUGUGAGACACAACAUCCAUUUAAUUUAUUAAAGUCUUUUUAACUAUGUAAACAUGUUUUAAGUUGUUAAGAUUGAUUGGGUAAAAACAGAAGAGGUGAUUGUGUGUUUUAUCCUACAAUUCAAUGAGGCAAUGCCUAAUUGAUUCAUUGGGGUACUUUUAAUCGUUAAUGCAUGUUUCAAUGUUGCUAAGAUUGAUUGAGUGAGGAAAAUAUCUACAUAUGAAAGGCAACAGUUAGUUACACUUCAUUAUGUUUUUUUCUAAUAUAUUGAUAUAUGUCAAUUUCAGUAGUUAUUAAUUCAACAUCGCCCAAAGUAACCAAUGCCUCGCUUUUCCAAACAAAACUUUCUCUAUUGAUAUUUCUUAAAUAUAAAAUCAUGUCAUGGUAAGCAUCCGAUGGAUACUAAGACAAUUGGAUAGAUAUCUCAGAUAUUGAAUGGACCAAAUGGGGUAACGGAUGUGGUAGUAUACAAGCGCUGUAUAUCUUUUAAUUUAGAUAUACACACACAACGUAAUGCCUAAUCCAUCCAGCCGGGGGGCCGGCCAGAGAGAUAUAAAAUACCCCCAAUCCCAUCAUUUUGUAUUUUGUAUUGGAAUUAAAAAUCCAAACCCAGAUAUUGCUAUGAUUUGGUAAAUCCCGAGAAAUUGAGAACCCAUCCUGGGGGAGGCAUGGUCCCCCUAUUCAAUGCCAACCCUAUUUUCAAAUGGUGUCUAAAGAGUUGUACAGUUAACGGUGACUUUAAAAUAAAGAAUUGCCUUAAACCUUGAUUUUAGGCCCUUCUUCAAGAAUAUGAAAAUGCAUGUUGGGCAAUGAUUUAGAUUCGAAAGUGGGUUCUGCAGACAUCACAUUUCUGCAGAGCCGAAAAUAUUUACAAGCGUAGGACGAAGCUCAGUUCAGAUGGGCCUCGAAGAUGAAUUUUUAAGCAAUUUGCUUGAUACAUUCAGCAAUUGAUAAUUUAAAAUAAAAAAAAUUAGGAAAUAGAAAGUAAAACAUAUAUGGUUAAAACUUCAAUGCAAUUUUAGCAUAUUUGAACUAGUCAUAGGAGCGUUUAAUUUCUUUGAUGAAGAAGCUGAACACCAAAGAUUCAUCCAGGUAGAAAAAUGUAUUGACCAUCUAAUUGUCUGCAGAACCUACAUCUAAGUACCCCGCUAUAAAUAUAAGAGGCAACUUAGGUGAGGGACAUAUAGACACAUACGAAUGCCAUUGUAGAAUAUAAAAUCCAAAUUUCUCAAAACUAUAAGGUUAUGUUUGAAUCCAAAAAAAUAUUAGAGGAAGUGAAAAUGUUAAGAAAAAUAAUUUUUUAUGAUUAAUUUUAUUAUAAAAAAUAUAAAAAAUAAAUAUAAUUAAAAUUAGUUAGAAUUUUACAUAUUUUUAAAUUAUAUAAUUUGAAUUUAAAUAAAUAUAUAAAAAUAAGUCAUUAAUUUUAGAUCUAUUUCUUUUUUCUUUUUUUAUAUUCUCCCACAAAAUUUCAGUAACCGAACACAACCUAAUAGUUUCCACUGUUUCUUUGAAUUUCUCAACUUCAAAAUCUCUUGUCUAUGAGACCUCAGAGUAAUUAAUUCCUACCUCUUGGUGACUAGGCCAAGCGCAUGGAUAGGCACAUUGACCCACUUGUAAUUGCCUAGGCUAAUAGGCCAAGCUCAUAGCAAUUUUCCUUUUUUAUUUUUUAAUUUCGUCGUAGGACUUGGUCUCCACAAGGCACUAUAACGUAUCCCCUAAUUUCAUUUCAUGGAACUUUAAUAAAAUAUCUAUUGCUUUCAAGUGGGAACUGGAGAGCAACGUUGCCUAGCUAACUCACAAUCCUUCUAUAUAAGUUCAAGCUAGGUAUCUUCUUCCUUCCACCACUGCCCACUGCCUUGUAUUAGGAUAUCGUUUCUUAGUUAAUAUAUAGUUGAUUAAUUUCCAUCUCCAACUACUACUAUUAUUAGAAAAAUAUGGCUCUAACUGGCAAGCUAGAGGUUGAAAUGGAGAUCAAUUCACCUGCGGAUAAAUUCUAUAACAUCUUCAGGAGGCAAGCACACCACAUUCCUAAUAUCUGCUCAGAUAAAGUACACCAAAUUGAUGUACAUGAAGGUGACUGGGAGACUCCAGGCUCCGUCAAGAACUGGGGUUAUACUCUUGGUAAGGCAACCACAACUCAAACCCCAAAACCCUAGCACUAUUAGUCUGUAAAAAAAAAUGAUUUUUUUAGUUUUUCUAUUUCAUUUAAUUGUUUUUUUGUUUGGCAUUUUCCCCUUUAGAAUAUUAAUUUAACUGCAUUAAUUCGGAGUUGAUCCCAUCAUGUGGAAGUUUAUGCUUCUGUUAUGAAUACAGCUUUGUAUGCCUUCCUUAUGUUUAAUUCAACCUAAAGCAUGUAGAAUUGAUGGUCAAAGUCUAUGGGACCCUUUUUUCAUGACCGCCAUGCAUGGGGCUUUCCCAGGUGACUGCCCGCUACUAAAGGGGCCUAAAGUUUAGGUCCCCCGAGUUAGAACUUAGAAGAGGGAUUAUGAAUGAUCAGUGAAGUUGUAAGGUUUUGAUCUUCUUAGAUAUUACCUAGAAAGAGGAUUGACUUUACUUGACUUUUACCAUAUUGAUUUAGAGAUUGGCGAUUGCUUUAAAAGGUUGUGUCAACAGAAGAAAACUUAAAAAAUAUUAAGAAAAAUAAAAAAAAUGAUUUUGUUUUUAUAAAAAAAAUCAAAUAUAAUAAAAACGAGUUGAAAUUUUAUUUAUUUUUAAAUUAACUUUUAUAUAGAAGAAUUAAAAUACGUUAAGUAAAUUUGAAUCAAAAUAUAAAAAUAAUUAAUUUCUUAAUUUUAAAUUUAUUAUUUUUCUUUUAACUUCUUUUUUGUUUUUUCAUUUUCUUUUCUUUUGUAUUUUCUUCAAAUUUUUUUAGAACCAAAUAUAGUCAUUAUGAAAAGAUGGGCCACGAAGUGACUACGCAUGUCAAUUUGCUUGAGAUUUCGCAAUCUAGUAGUUUCAAAAUACUAUGCUUAACCCCUUGUUUUGGUUUGAAAUUACUAGGAGGGACUUCUAUGAGCCUUAAAGAGACUGUGGAAUCAGUAGAUGAUGAAAACAAGUCAAUCACUUUCAAGGUUGUGGAUGGAGAGAUCAUGAACCAUUUCAAGUGCUUCAAGUCCAACUUGCAAGUAAAAGCAAAGGAUGAGGGCAGCUUGGUGAAAUGGAGUCUGGAAUAUGAGAAAGUAAAUAAGGAUGUCCCAAAUCCUGAUGCUUACCUGGAGUUCGCAGUUAAUGUUACUAAAGAUAUUGAAAGCCACUACCUCAAGGCAUGACACCAAGGCCAUGUGGUAUCCUCGGUAGUAUUACUUCAAUAACGCUGGUGUUUGUAAUUUGGUUGAGUUGUAUGCUUUACCAGGAGUGGCCUUGUGAUUGGCUGGUUUCUUUUGUAAAGGCAUUAUCAUAUAUGAUGUAAAUACUGUACCUUAAAUAAAAAGAAAAUCAGCAAAGACCCUCCUUUUUAAUGUGGAUAAUUGCUUUUAAUGUCACCUUUGUUGAUCGGUUUACAAGACAAGAGUUAACAAGUAGUCCCUAUUUAUUAAAUAUAAGAAUUUUCUGUAUCCAUUAAUCAUCAUCAGUAAGCUAAUAAAAUGGCUGAUAUUUUUCUUAAUAAAAACAGCAACAGUUACUGAGUUUAUAUAUAGGACACCAGUUGCAGAUUAGAUUUCUUUGGCUUGAUUGUGAUCUUUCUACAUGUUGGAAAAAUAUUGUCAUUUGGUAUUUAAUAUCAAAUUUUAAAAAUAAUAUUUAAGAUAUGAAGAAAAAAACAUACAAUGAUUCAUAUUUUUAACUUUAAUAUGAUUUAAAGUUCAUCGAGUAACCGUUUUGAAAUCAUUCACCCUUGAUCUUCACUUUCCUAGUCUCCCUUUACACGUUCCUUAGUGGUGAGUAUGAAAAUGAUUCCAUUGAAUUGUAAGAAUGGAAAGAGGGAUAAAAAAUUCUUCUAUUUAUAAGCAUAGAAUGAUUCUUCUUAUCAGUGAACCAUUAACUAAAUACUUUAAACAUAUUAUUAAUUAAUAAUAAUAAUAAUAAUAAUUAUUAUUAGAAAAUAAAUUUCAUAAAUAUUAUAAAUUUAAAAAAGAAUCUAAUUUAAUUCUUAAAAAAUUUAUGCAUGAAAUUUUUAUAUUAUUUUUAAUUGUUUUCUAAGGGUUAUUUUAAGAAAUUAUUAUACAAACAUAUAAAAUAAUUAAAAAUAAAACAAUAGAUAUAAAAAUUAUUUUUAAAAAUAUUAAAAAUAAAUUCAAAAUAUUUUAAGUUGCCAAACAAAUUUUUUAUUCUACAAAAAUCAGAGAUAGUUUUCAAAAUCUCUUUUAAAAAACUAUUUUUCAGAAUUAUUUUAAAAAAUAGUUACCAAACAAGCCCUAAAAGAUUUAUAUAUAUAUAUAUAUAUGAAAUUAAAAAAAUAUCAAAUAAUAAAAAUUCAAACAAUGGUAAGGGUGUCACUAAUGAUCGGUUUGGAUUUAAACUAACAUUUUUUUAUAUUGAGUAAUUUAUUUUUUAUUCUAUAUAUUAGAAAAUUGAAUUUAAAUGUAACUUUUUCAAAUAAAAUAGUUAGAUCACACUUGAUAUAUAGUAAUAAUUUUUUAAAAACUAAUGGUCAUAAUUUAAAAAAAUGAUGAAAAAAAAAUCUCAAAUAUAUUGCAUAUGAAUGUAUAUAUUUAGUUUUAUACAACAUGUUAGACAUAUAUUAGUUAUUAACUUAUUAUAAUCUACUAAAAUAUUAAUUCUAUACGAGGGGAUUAGAUUUCUCAUUGUUGAUUUUAUAACCCUCAUUGUGGGAUUAUAAAAUGUCAUUGCAAUCACUCCCAAUUUAGUCUAUGCAAAUCAAAUAUAGAAAUGCAAUUUAUCUCUGUCACAAUUUGUUACACAAUAAUGAUAAUGGAUAAUAAAUAAAUAAAUAAAUAAAAUUAAAGAACACACAUUUAUGUAUAAAACUUUAGAUGAGAAAAAUCAUGGAUAAGGAAAAUGAAUAUCCAAUAUAUCAAAAGAUUGGUAUAAAAGAUGAGAAAUAUAAACAACUAUGAUAAAAAUAUAAUCAUCAUAACCUUAAAAUUAUGUGAAAGUAAUUAACAAAGUAGGUCCAUACAUAAGGACAAAGAGCCCCCUCAAAGGUAUCAAUGGUGGGGGUGUGGGGUGUGGGAUCGGAUCAAAUUCCAACGUUAUCAAUGGUAGGCUAGGGGAUCGGAUCAAAUAGAAUUUGGAUCGCCAAACCUUAAUACAUUUUAUGCUUUUUCUUAUUGGUUUAGAUUUAUGAUAAUCUCCUCCACCAGCAAAAUAAAGUUAUACCGGAGGAUUUUCUUUGUUUUGGCUGUCACACUUUCACUUCUUUGCUAAUAGCCUAACAUCAAAUGAGAAAAUAGAGACAUUUUAAAAAUGAGAACAAAUUCUCGAGGAUUUAGUUGUCUGCCACUAGACUAUAAAAAAUGCUUUCCUGUUAUUUUACCCCCUAAAAUAAGUUUGAUACAAUGCAUCUAUUUUCUGGCUCCGACAAUGUUUAAGAAUACAUCAACCGACCUCAAACCACAUUAUUUCGGUUUGAAAAGAAGGCUUUAUUAUGUCAGUAUGGCUGCUAAGAAGACUUUUGGAAUAUAAUAAAACAAGUCCAGCGAGUUGAUGGUUUGGAAUCGAGAGAUCAUGAAUGAUUUCCCUACUUUAGAGUCAAUAAUUAAGUGGAAUGUGAGAAGGUGAAUGAGGAUGGCCCGGGAUCCAAUGCUUACUAAACUAUUGAAGAUCACCUUCCUGAGGCAUAAUUCCAUUACUUUUCAUCGACGCUGCGAUGCUAUAAAAGAAUAUUAUAAAAAUGCAAGGGUAAUGAAAUAUUGUACAGCCUUUACCGUAUUGAAGAACGUGGACUGAUUGCUAGGGUACCCAACACCCACCAUAAUUCCCACACCAACUCCCAACCAACCCGAUCACGUAGGGCCUCACAUGGCCUCAUUAUCAUUUAUGUGGAAAGAUAAUGCUAAACUAUAUACGGGAUGGCCAUUCUACCAGCCAACCUGUAAUGAUUUUGAUAAAAGUAUACUAAAAAUAGAAGGAGAAAUUAAGUUAUCAUUUGAUAACGGUUUUUAAAAAUUGUUUUUAAUAUUUUAUAAAAUAAAAUUUUAUUUAGAAAUACAAAAUAUUUUUAACUUAUUUUUAAUAUUUUAUAUGUAUAUAUAUAUAUAUAAAGAGAGAGCGCUUUAUUUUUAAUUAUUUUUCAUAUUUAUAUAAUUAUUUUUUAAAACAAUUUCAAAAAAACAAGUGAAAAUAACUAAAAAAAUAUUCUUUGAGAUAAAGAUCAAAAAACAUAAAAUAGUUUUUUUUAUUAUCAAACAUGUUUUAUGUUUUCUAAUCUGUGUUUUUUUAAUUUGUUUUUUGUUUUCAAAUCUUAAGAUCACUUAAUUUUUUAGGGUUUUUUUUAAGAAAUAAUUAUAUAAAUAUAUAAAAUAAUUAAAAAUAAAAUAUUAGACAUAAAAAUUAUUUUUAAAACAUAUUUAAAAAUAUUAAAAACAAGUUUAAAAUAUUUUAAGUUAUAAAAUAAGCUUUUUUUUUUUUACAAGAAUCAUAAAAUAAUUUUUAAAAACUAUUUUAAAAUAUUAUUUUUGAAAAUAAUUAUCAAACCCCUUAUUUUCUAUUCUCAAAAAAUGUUUUUUAAUUAUCAAAUGUGGUGUCUAUUUAAAUUUAAGAUUUUAAAUUUUAAAUUUAGUUAUUUCCAAGUUAUGAUCUCUUGAUAUUAUUUCAACCUAUUAUUUAUUUAUUUGUUUGUUUUUCACAUAAAUAAACUAAAAUUCAAUUGUAUAACCCAGUAUGAAUCACGUGGGCCCUUAGUGAGGCUGGCUACAACUAAAUCAACGUUCUUUUGAUAAUCGAUUGCCUAUGAAAGAAAUCAUCACGCCUUACACACAAUAGAAUAAAUUAAUAAGAAAGUAAGAAGAUUAGAAAGAAAAGCAUCUUAGAGGAAGGGUUUUUUUUUUUUUAACUUCUUGGUGGUGACACUGGAUGGGCUUUUGAUAAUUGUACGACGAAUUUAAAAUUAAUGUUUUAAAAUACGGUAUUAAAAAAUAUUUUCAAAUUUAUGGUACUUUUUACCACUUUGAAACAUGUUUCUUAAAAAAGCAUAUUUCAUCGUUUUUAUAUUAAUGAUACACAUUCAAAAAAAAAAAAAUUAAAGGUGUCUUUUUGAAAUAUAUUUUUCAUAAUUUUUAUAUCAAUAACACACAUUAAAAAAUUUUGAAUUUAUAUUAAAAGUGUCUCUUCAAAAAACACAUUUUAUAAUUCCAUAAAAUUAAAUUUAUAUUAAAAGUGUCUUUUAAAGAUAUACUUUUUACAAUUUUCAUAUCAGUUAUAUAGUGAAAAAAUUGAAUUUAUAUUAAACAUAUUUCUUUAAAAGACAUUUUCUACAAUUUCAUAAAAUUAAAUUUAUAUUAAAGGUAUCUCUUUCAAUAAUUUUUGUAUCAAUCAUCCAUUGAAAUAAUUGAAUUUAUACUAAAAAUAUCUUUUUAAAAGACACCAUCCAUAAUUUCAUAAAAUUAAAUUUAUAUUGAAAUGUUUCUCUUUAUACUUUUAAUAUAAAUUUAAUUUUUUUAUAGGUGAUUAAUAUAAAAAUUAUGAAAAGUAUUUAUUUAAAAAAUAUUUAUUAUAAAUUCAAUUUUAUAGAAUUAUAAAGACGUCUUCAACGUAAAUUCAAUUAUUUUUUCAAUGUGUAAUUGAUAUGAACAUUAUGAAAAAUGUCCUUCAAAAGACACUUUUAGUAUAAAUUUGAUUUUAUGGUAUUAUUAAAAGUAUAUUUCUUUAAUAUAAAUUCAAUUUUUUAACAUGUAUAACUAAUGAAAAAUUAUAAAAAAAUUAUAUUUUGAAGAGAUAUCUUUAAUAUAAAUUCAAUUUUUUAACAUGUAUAACUAAUGAAAAAUUAUAAAAAAAAUUAUAUUUUGAAGAGAUAUCUUUAAUAUAAAUUCAAUUUUAUAGAAUUAUAAAAGAUAUCUAUUGAAAAAAUACUUUUAACAUGUAUCAUUGAUAUGAAAAAUAUAGAAAAUAUCUUUUCAAAAAACACUUUUUAAAAUGGUAAAAAGUACCAUAAAUUUAUCAAAAGUUUUAUAACUAUCAUAGAAAUUUUUUUCAAAAGUUCCAUUUUUUAAUAAUUAUUUUUUUAAAUAGCCGUACAAGUUAUAUAAAAAAAAACCCGAUACUCCAUAAAAUGUGAUCAAGUAGGAUUUGCAUCAUGCAACCUCAUACAAAUAAUAAAAAGCAUAAAUCACUUGAAACUUGAAAGUGAUUGGAAUUUGGCAGACUCUAGCUAGCUAGGUUGCCAUAAAUGACAUGGGUCAGUGGCCGACACCCACCAAACCCAGCACUUAAUAAUAUAAUUAAUAUACUAUUAUUAUAGAACCAUCGUUUUCAGGAUAGGGAGCAUCAAAUUAACCUCCCCAAGUCAAACUGCACAAUUUGUUUCAUCGAAAUCGAAUAUCUAAUAAUGAAUGAUUAUGGGUGAGAUUGCAAUCCGCCAAUCCUUUGCCUAGCUCUUUGAAAAUCAAUGAUGAUGCUUAGUAUUAAUAUUUUAUUUAUCUUUUUAAUAUGAAAAUAAAAAUAUCAAAAUAAUUUUAAACUUUUUUCGUGGAGAUAAUGCUCCCCAGUUAAGCUGCUUAUAAGGUAUAAAUUAAUAAUAACCUUUUAAUUUUAAUAAAAGCAAUUUGAUACAUAUCACAUCUUAAUUCACUUGAGUAAUAACUAUUUAAGAUUGGAUUUAGGUUAACUUAGAUUAAUUAGAUUGUAUUCAGGUUAAUUAAACCAUAAUCAUAUUAUUAUCAACAAUUUCUCACAACUAUCCUAUUUUUAAUAUGAAUUAUUCCUAGUUCUCAAAUUAUUGUUUAGGUAGUUUUAUUAUCUUAAAAAACAUCUUUUUUUGUCAUUGGUUCUGCAUGGUUAUUAAAUAAGAAAAUUAUAAUUAUCUUAUCAACUAAUUUGAAGACUUUUCACAAAUUCAUACUUUAAAAACCUCUUUCUUUGUCGUGGGUCCCUACAUGGUUAUUAAAUAAUAAAAUUGUAAUAAUUUUAUCAAUUAAUUUGAAGACUUUUCACAAAUUUAUACAAUACUAGUUAUCGGAAAUGUGUCACAAAGAAGAUGCCAAGCUAAAAGCAAAUCAUGAUUCAUUAUUUUUUUUCCCAAUUGGAGCUCGAUGACCCAAUCCGAAUGCAUUAACAUCAAAAUUAGUGUUUUAUACUAUUUUCAAUGAACCUUGUCAACAUGAUCGUGAAAUGAUUUAUGAUUAUUUUCAAUAAACCUUUCAUCGAAACUAUGUGUAGAACUGCAUGAAUAAAUAAGAAAUUUUCAUAGUUACAGAUUUGCAUUAUCUCACUCUAUAUGAUUUUAUAUAGUUUUUUUUUUAAUACUUCUGCAACAUUUCUUUAGAAAAAAUAUUGUAUCAAUAAAUUCAGUAAUUUUCAUCAAUUUCAAUCUUAUAAUUAAAUGAUACUUCUGUCAUGUAUAUCACCAUACGUGUCACACUUCAUUCAAGAUCAGGUUGAUUAGUCAUGUAUACCUGCUCCAUUAAUAAAGUAUUAAGUUUUUAUUUUAUUUUAUUAAAAUAAUAAAUAAAUAAUAUAAUUUUUUUUUAUUAGAGGUAGUUAGGUAUCAUUAAAUGAUUUGUUGUCCUGCCAUGUCCCCAAUUAAUAAUUUUAUACUUUUCAUUUUUUUCAAAGGAUUUAAAAUAUAAAAUAUUAAAGAUAAAAUAUCUGAAAGUACCGCUUCCAUACCCAAUCAAAUUUUAAAUCUAAAUUAUUGACAUGUGAGUGAAAUUUGGACUAUUAAAUAAAAAGUGAAAAAAAAAUAAAAUAAUAAAUAAUUAAAAAUGUUCCUGCAAGGAGAUGUGACUAAGGUUAAAAAAGGAGGGGAUAAGGAGCGGCUAGGAAUAUGUAAACAAAAUUCAAAUAAUUAAAAAACGAAAUGAUAACUUCUCAAUGAAAUUGAAUGUUUCAGUUCUAAAAUCCAAAACAAAAACUAUAGUGAAAGAAAAAUUUGAGAAAAUAUAGCAUGGUCUUCUCUUUAAUGAUUGAUAAAUAUUUAUAUAUAAAUAAAGUUUAUUUUCCAUUAUAAUUUAGAUUAGUCGAGUCUUGUUUUCUACUCAAAUUCAAACUUCACAUUUUGUUAUAAUUUAAUCUAAUAAUAAUUGUUUUCACAAGACAAGCUGAAGUUAUCCAUUAAAAUACAACUUUUAAUUAAUAGUUUAAAAAAUAAGAUAAAUUUGAAAAUAAUUUUAAAAUUUAAUAAGUAUAUAUAUUUUUAAAUAGCAUUUUUUUUUUUAAAUUGCCAAAUCUAUGCUCAGAAAAGAUCCACAAAAGUUGAUCAACAAAAGAUACCGAACAGGAAGUAGAUGAUAAUCCAUUAUUUUCUUCUUUAUUAAAGUUUGACAACCCAAUCUGAAUUCAUUAACGUGAAAAGCAGUGUUGUAUGCUCAUUUUCAAUGAACCUUGUCAACAUGCACGUCAAAAACAAUGAUUUAUUAACUACGUACAUGUAGAAUUCCAUGGGAAAAAAAAAAAUACAAUUAAGGCCUUGGGAGAUGAAUAAAAGCUUAACCUAAAAUUCAAAAUUCUCAAAACCAUGUUUUUUCACACCAAAAUGUUUCAUCCAGCCAACCUAAGACCGAUUGAAUCCUCCCUCUAAAGCACAUUGCCCAAGAUUACAGGCAACGUAGUAAUUACCUAAGCAAGUACGUCAGAAUCAUAGCAAUUUUUACCAAAGUGGGUAUCGGGAAGGAGCUUUGCCUAAUUCAUUCUUCGACAAGGUUAUCUACUUCCUCUCGUCACUGCCUUCUGUUUGAAUCAUUUGUAGUUAGUUUUAUCAAUCCAGCUAGUGUUAUUAUCAGAAAAACAUGGCUCUAACUGCUAAAGUGGAGACUGAAACAGAGAUCAAAGCACCUGCUGAUAAGUUCUUUAAACUCUUCAGGAGCCAAGCACACCACCUUCCUAAUAUCUGCUCCGAUAAAAUACACAAAAUCGAGGUACAUGAAGGUGACUGGGAGACUCAGGGCUCCGUCAAGCAUUGGAGUUACACCAUUGG
rnacentral:lncRNA from 1 species